rnacentral:rRNA from 1 species
GAUGAACGCUGGCGGCGUGCCUAAUACAUGCAAGUCGAGCGAACGGACGAGAAGCUUGCUUCUCUGAUGUUAGCGGCGGACGGGUGAGUAACACGUGGAUAACCUACCUAUAAGACUGGGAUAAUUUCGGGAAACCGGAGCUACUACCGGAUAAUAUUUUGAACCGCAUGGUUCAAAAGUGAAAGACGGUCUUGCUGUCACUUAUAGAUGGAUCCGCGCUGCAUUAGCUAGUUGGUAAGGUAACGGCUUACCAAGGCAACGAUGCAUAGCUGACCUGAGAGGAUGAUCGGCCACACUGGAACUGAGACACGGUCCAGACUCCUACGGGAGGCAGCAGUAGGGAAUCUUCCGCAAUGGGCGAAAGCCUGACGGAGCAACGCCGCGUGAGUGAUGAAGGUCUUCGGAUCGUAAAACUCUUUUAUUAGGAAAGAACAUAUGUGGAAGUAACUGUGCACAUCUUGACGGUACCUAAACAGAAAGCCACGGCUAACUACGUG